AACGAACGCUGGCGGCAUGCCUAACACAUGCAGGUCGAACGAGACCUUCGGGUCUAGUGGCGCACGGGUGCGUAACACGUGGGAAUCUGCCCUUUGCUUCGGAAUAACAGUUAGAAAUGACUGCUAAUACCGGAUGAUGUCGAAAGACCAAAGAUUUAUCGGCAAAGGAUGAGCCCGCGUAGGAUUAGGUAGUUGGUGGGGUAAAGGCCUACCAAGCCGACGAUCCUUAGCUGGUCUGAGAGGAUGAUCAGCCACACUGGGACUGAGACACGGCCCAGACUCCUACGGGAGGCAGCAGUGGGGAAUAUUGGACAAUGGGCGAAAGCCUGAUCCAGCAAGGCCGCGUGAGUGAUGAAGGCCUUAGGGUUGUAAAGCUCUUUUACCAGGGAUGAUAAUGACAGUACCUGGAGAAUAAGCUCCGGCUAACUCCGU
rnacentral:rRNA from 1 species